rnacentral:rRNA from 1 species
CCACAGGUAAGCACAUGCAAGACAUACAUCAAGUGUUCUCAAAUACUUAAAGACUCAAUCCGAUAAGAUAACUUCAAAGGGAAAACUCAAUCCAUUACAAGAGAGUAGAUGGGAGAAACAUUAUAAGAUCCAACUAUAGUAGCAAAGCUCGCGGUACAUCAAGAUCGUACCAUCUCAAGAACACGAGAGAGAGAGAUCAAACACAUAGCCACUGGUACAUACCCUCAGCCCCGAGGGUGAACUACUCCCUCCUCGUCACGGAGAGCGCCGGGAUGAUGAAGAUGGCCACUGGUGAGGGAUCCCCCCUCCGGCAGGGUGCCGGAACAGGGUUCCGAUUGGUUUUUGGUUGCUACAGAGGAUUACGGCGGCGGAACUCCCGAUGCAUGGUGCUCCUGGAUGUUCUCGGGGUAUAUGGGUAUAUAUAGGAGGAAGAAGUAGGUCGGUGGAGCUGCGAGGGGCCCACGAGGGUGGGGGUGUGCCCAGGGGGGCAGGCAAGCUUGCCUGCCUCGUGGCCUCCUCGCUUCUUUCUUGACGUCCACUGCAAGUCUCCUGGAUGACGUUUGUUCCAAAAAUCACUCUCCCGAAUGUUUCAUUCCGUUUGGAUUCCGUUUGAUAUUCUUUUUCUGCGAAACACUGAAAUAGGGAAAAAAAACAGCAAUUUGCACUGGUCGUUCGGUUAAUAGGUGAGUCUAAAAAAUAUUAUAAAAAUGUAUAAUAAAUCUCAUUAAACAUACAAAACAGAUAAUAUAAUAAAAUGAAACAAUCAAAAAUUAUAGAUACGUUAGAGACGUAUCAAGCGGUGUGCCCAACCCGAACAUAUUUUUCAUCACCAUGAAGGUGAUGCCGACGAUGCUAGCGAACAUUAACCUGGGGUAGUUGUUCGUGACUGACGGAAGUAGCAUUGCGAUCCAUGUGCACAUGCCCAUGAAGGCCAGAAACGACAGUGCCAUAAAAAACGACAAAGCCAUGAGUGCAAGAAGUGGUUAGGUGGUCAUCCUGACGAGGUUGCCAGCGAGACCAAGAAGCGUGGCUAUCAUGUUGGAGAAACUGAAAUGCUUCAUCAACAUAUCCAUCAUCACAAAGAAGACAGCCAAGAUAUCCAUCACCACAAAGAAGACAGGUGCGAGCAGCAGCCCCACCGUGAGCGCGAUAAAGAGGAGGCCAAGAAGCGUGGCGAUCAUGUUGGAGAAGUGGGCGAUCGAGAAAUCUAGGAG